rnacentral:rRNA from 1 species
CAUUUUGGACAAUGGGGGCAACCCUGAUCCAGCCAUCCCUCUUGCGCGAUGAAGGCCAUCGGGUUGAUAAGCACUUUUGGCUGGGAAGAAACGGCGCCAGCUAAUCCCUGGCGCUCAUGCAGGUACCUGCAGAAUAAGUACGGGCUAACUACGUGCCACCAGCCGCGGUAAUACGUAGGGUGCAAGCGUUAAUCGGAAUUACUUGGCGUAAAGCGUGCUCAGGCGGUUCUGAAAGAAAGAUGUGAAAUCCCAGAGCUUAACUUGGGAACUGCAUUUUUAGCUACCGGGAUAGAGUGUGUCAGAGGGAGGUGGAAUUCCGCGUGUAGCAGAGAAAUGCGUAGAUAUGCGGAGGAACACCGAUGGCGAAGGCAACCUCCUGGGAUAACACUGACGCUCAUGCACGAAAGCGUGGGGAGCAAACA